GUUGUUAUGUCACAAAGUUAUUAUGUCACAAAAAGUAAGCUAUAAAAAUAUUCACAGACAUUUACUUAUGUCUUUUGGUGAUCUUUAAUUUUGAAGAGUUUUCUUCCCACCCCCUUCCUCACCAUAUCCACCCCCCCUCUAUUUUCCUUUCAGGUCAUAGAUAUUUUUUGAAGAGUCCAUGCCAGUUGUCUACAGUACACAAUCUGGACCAUUGAAGACCUCCAUCUACUUGAUGGAAGACUGGAUCUUAUCACAGAAGAAAGCAAAGUAAAA
rnacentral:lncRNA from 1 species